rnacentral:rRNA from 1 species
CCGCCCCGCCCGCCGCGCGCGGCGGGCGGGGCGGGGGCACGGGGGGAACGCGAAGAACCUUACCUGGUCUUGACAUCCACAGAACUUUCCAGAGAUGGAUUGGUGCCUUCGGGAACUGUGAGACAGGUGCUGCAUGGCUGUCGUCAGCUCGUGUUGUGAAAUGUUGGGUUAAGUCCCGCAACGAGCGCAACCCUUAUCCUUUGUUGCCAGCGGUUAGGCCGGGAACUCAAAGGAGACUGCCAGUGAUAAACUGGAGGAAGGUGGGGAUGACGUCAAGUCAUCAUGGCCCUUACGACCAGGGCUACACACGUGCUACAAUGGCAUAUACAAAGAGAAGCGACCUCGCGAGAGCAAGCGGACCUCAUAAAGUAUGUCGUAGUCCGGAUUGGAGUCUGCAACUCGACUCCAUGAAGUCGGAAUCGCUAGUAAUCGUAGAUCAGAAUGCUACGGUGAAUACGUUCCCGGGUCUUGUACACACCGA